rnacentral:lncRNA from 1 species
CUUGCAUCCCUCCUCCUCUUCUUUUUAGUAUCUUCUUUUCAAGGUAUAAAAAGAUGGUAUAGAGGACUAGAUAGAUGAACAAGGAAUUCACGAGGGUUCGAUGUUAACAGACCUAAAGAAGAGACCAUAAGUAAAGCACGCAAAUUGGUUUCUACGCAUCUGUAUCAUAGUCCCGUAGUAUGAUGCACACUUGGAAAGUAGCAG